rnacentral:piRNA from 1 species
UAGAAGCACCUAAAAGGUAGCCUC